rnacentral:rRNA from 1 species
UGGGGAAUAUUGGACAAUGGGGGAAACCCUGAUCCAGCGACGCCGCGUGUGUGAGGAAGGCCUGCGGGUUGUAAAGCACUUUUAGUGGGGAUGAAAUGUGCAGGGCUAACACCUCUGCAUUUUGACCUAACCCACAGAAAAAGCACCGGCUAACUCUGUGCCAGCAGCCGCGGUAAUACAGAGGGUGCAAGCGUUAAUCGGAAUUACUGGGCGUAAAGCGUGCGUAGACGGUUACAUAAGUCGGGUGUGAAAGCCCCGGGCUCAACCUGGGAAUUGCAUUCGAGACUGCGUAGCUAGGGUGCGGAAGAGGGAAGCGGAAUUUCCGGUGUAGCGGUGAAAUGCGUAGAUAUCGGAAGGAACACCAGUGGCGAAAGCGGCUUCCUGGUCCAGCACCGACGUUCAGGCACGAAAGCGUGGGGAGCAAACA